rnacentral:misc_RNA from 1 species
UUUCCGUAGGUGAACCUGCGGAAGGAUCAUCAACAAAACAAUAAAAUUCAAAACAAAAACACCAAUUUCAUUCCAAAAUUAUAUUGGAAUGUUUUUUUAAUGGGGAUGUGGAGAUUUCUAAUUUUUUUAAUUAGAUUUUUCUCAUGCCCCAUCAUUUAAAACUCCUAAAAAAACAAAUUAGAAAAUUAUUCCAAAAAAUUUUAAAAUAUAAAAAUAGAGACAACUUUUAACAAUGGAUCUCUUGGCUCUC